rnacentral:lncRNA from 1 species
UUUUUACUAGUAACCUUACAUGAUUGGUAAACCCACCCAUAACUUUGAUGGAUUGGCUGUAUAAUAUACACUUCGAUUGGAAUGUAUAAAUAGAUAUUUCUGAUUUUAAAUUUAAGAAAUGCUCUCUAUGCACUCUAAAAAGUAUGUCUUACAUCUUUCAAUCCUAGCUAGAGUUUAGAAAACUCAUUAGGUUUAGCAUUUUUUCUAAAAAAAAUGAGACAAAAUAAGUGCCAAUUCUUAGACUUUGGAUGAGAGAAUGUAAGAUGUACACUUCCUUUUAAGGUGUAUAGAUAGCAAUGCCACUACAACAGAAUUAGGUUAUAGGGAUACAUAUUUGGGACACUUUUGAGUAAGUGUCUCAUUUAUGCUAAAACUUACAAAAACAUCUACUAAUGCCUAAAUAUAAAGCCCAAUCCAACCAAAAAUAAAAGAUUACUCUACUCAACCCACCACACCCAGUCUAUUUGGCCCGAUUACAAACAGAAAAGAAAAAAAAAGAAAAAUCAAUUACCAUAUUUUCUUCUCUCUUCACUCAAUCUACUGAAAUUCUAGACGAAGAGUCUUUCCUGUCGUCCUCCUUCGCCACCGCAGCCAACGAGAUAGAGUUUCGACGGUUGCUAAAUGCUUAAAUAAGUGUUGGUAAAUUAGUAGUACUCUUUUAGGUUAUAGCGACACUCUUUAACUGUCACUAUACACCUAGCGACCCCACAUAUAGCAACACUUUUUAAAAGUGUCGAUAAUUUUAGCUAGCAGCAGUUUUUUGAUAUGUACCUACAUUUAAAAGUAUCGCUAUAGACCGUUUUUGUUGUAGUGUGCUCUCUAAAUUUAGGACUAGUUUC